rnacentral:rRNA from 1 species
CAGGAUGGACCCGCGUCUGAUUAGCUAGUUGGUAAGGUAACGGCUUACCAAGGCGACGAUCAGUAGCCGACCUGAGAGGGUGAUCGGCCACAUUGGAACUGAGACACGGUCCAAACUCCUACGGGAGGCAGCAGUGGGGAAUAUUGCACAAUGGGCGAAAGCCUGAUGCAGCAACGCCGCGUGAGUGAUGAAGGCCUUCGGGUCGUAAAACUCUGUCCUCAAGGAAGAUAAUGACGGUACUUGAGGAGGAAGCCCCGGCUAACUACGUGCCAGCAGCCGCGGUAAUACGUAGGGGGCUAGCGUUAUCCGGAUUUACUGGGCGUAAAGGGUGCGUAGGCGGUCUUUCAAGUCAGGAGUGAAAGGCUACGGCUCAACCGUAGUAAGCUCUUGAAACUGGGAGACUUGAGUGCAGGAGAGGAGAGUGGAAUUCCUAGUGUAGCGGUGAAAUGCGUAGAUAUUAGGAGGAACACCAGUUGCGAAGGCGGCUCUCUGGACUGUAACUGACGCUGAGGCACGAAAGCGUGGGGAGCAAACAGGAUUAGAUACCCUGGUAGUCCACGCUGUAAACGAUGAGU